UACGUAGGUGGCAAGCGUUGUCCGGAUUUACUGGGCGUAAAGGGCGCGUAGGCGGCCAGCACAAGUCAGUUGUGAAAUCUCCGAGCUUAACUCGGAAAGGUCAACUGAUACUGUGCGGCUAGAGUGCAGAAGGGGCAACUGGAAUUCUCGGUGUAGCGGUGAAAUGCGUAGAUAUCGAGAGGAACACCUGCGGCGAAGGCGGGUUGCUGGGCUGACACUGACGCUGAGGCGCGAAAGCUAGGGGAGCGAACGGG
rnacentral:rRNA from 1 species